GCCUGGGUGGCUCAGUCGGUUGAGCGUCUGACUUCAGCUCGGGUCAUGAUCUCACAGUUCGUGGGUUCGAGCCCCGUGUCCGGCU
rnacentral:tRNA from 1 species